UACGUAGGUGGCAAGCGUUGUCCGGAAUUAUUGGGCGUAAAGCGCGCGCAGGCGGUCUUUUAAGUCUGAGGUGAAAGCCCCCGGCUUAACUGGGGAGGGUCCUUGGAAACUGGGAGACUUGAGUACAGAAGAGGAGAGUGGAAUUCCACGUGUAGCGGUGAAAUGCGUAGAUAUGUGGAAGAACACCAGUGGCGAAGGCGGCUCCCUGGUCUGUAACUGACGCUGAGGCACGAAAGCGUGGGGAGCAAACAGG
rnacentral:misc_RNA from 1 species